UAAAAAAAAUCCAGCUCAUCGGGACUCGAACCCACAACCUUCUGACUUAUAGCAUAGUGCCCCCUAUAAUUAAUAAUGAUUUAAAAGUUCUUCCUUCGAUCUCUGCUACAAGGAUGAGGAUACAUACAAAGUUCACAGCCAGAGGCUGAUGAUAAUCCUCAUGAGCCUGAAAAACAGCUGGAAGAGGCAUACCAAUGAUAAGGACAAUAGAACUGCAGGUGGAGCUAGAUAUAAUGAAGAGGUAAUCUUCAAGCAUACAUGAAACAAUAGGGACAAGUUUUUGAAUAAUUUGACAUGAUGGCUGAAAGCUGGAAUAGUGGAGCCAGAGCCAGAUGUCUGUUGCUGAACAACGGCUUGGAAAUCACGUUCCCCUCACAAACUUCACAAGAUAGAGAUUAUUUCACUAGGCAUGGCUUACACCUUAAUGGGCAAGGUUAUGGGCCCAGGAACAUUACUAUAGAUUUACCAGUGUUGUGUUAGUUGUGUGACUAAAACAGAGAAGCGAUAAGUGAACAAAGAAUAACGACCAACAUGGAGCCUACAAUUCAGAUGCCCAAACUGAACAAUGAAAAUUGGAACACUUGGAAGUUUCAAAUCAAAGUAGUUCUAACUGCGAAGGAUCUUUUUGAAUAUGUUGAUGGUACAAAAGAAGCUCCUACAGAAAGCGCUCUGUUGUCAACUUGGAAAAAGGCAGACGCUCGAGCUCAAGAAGUGCUCAUCACCCAAAUGGAGCCUAUACCUCUUACCCAUAUAAUGAACUGCACUACAUCACGUGAAAUGUGGAAGAAACUACAGUCUGUAUAUGAGAGGGAAUCAAACGUUAGUGUUCAUUUGCUGUACCAACAAUUUUACUCAUUGAAAUUUGAGGAUAACCUGAACACCUAUUUAACAGCAGUAAACAACCUAGUUGCUACGCUCAGACAAAGAGGAGAGGAACUCUCCAAGAAAAUGGUAAUGACCAAGCUCAAUAUGACUCUUCCUGAUGCUUAUAAGCACUUUAUUUCAGUGUGGGAAUCUGUAUCAGAAGCCAAACAAACGUUGGAAAAAAUUAACUGCUAGGCUGCUUAUAGAAGAAGAAUGAAUGAAUGCACAAGAAGGAACAGUAGCCCUGGCUGCAAGAAAGUCGAGUACAGUUAACACCAAUAU